AGACAGAGGUGGCAAGCGUUGUUCGGAUUUACUGGGCGUAAAGAGCAUGUAGGCGGUUAGAUUAGUCAGUUGUGAAAUCCUAUGGCUUAACCAUAGAAUUGCAUCUGAUACUGUCUAGCUAGAGUGCAGGAGAGGAGAGUGGAAUUUCCAGUGUAGCGGUGAAAUGCGUAGAUAUUGGAAGGAACACCGGUGGCGAAGGCGGCUCUCUGGUCUGUAACUGACGCUGAGAUGCGAAAGCGUGGGUAGCAAACAGGAGUAGAAACCCCAGUAGUCC
rnacentral:rRNA from 1 species